GGUGGGCUGCCAGAGUCUCUCCCACUCAUCAGGAAGGGUGAUGUGGCUGGGGUUUCCAGGGUUAACUCAGAGCCUUGGGCCUCACUAUGGAGUAACCAAAUUCUGCUGGGGGCUUUCAGCUGGGGUUCUCAGAUGUGGCGUGAGGAGGAGUCCAGGAGGAGGGGCCUGCAGCACGCAGGGCACCCAGGUGUUUCCAUUCCAGGACCUCCCGCAGGCACUUCCAUCUCUCGAGAUUCUGCCGGAUCCGGCUUCCUCCGGAAAGACCCGCGAAGAUAGCGAUGCCUUGGGCAGGACUCUGCCCUUCUCUGAGCCUCCCUCCGACCUCACUGCAUUCCAGCCUGGGGUCUCAGGACCCCACUUAAAACCACCAGCAACCCCUCCUUCACCAGGCCCACACUUGGCCCUCGUGUGACCUUCGUGGUGUUCAAACGCCAGAGCAUGCCCUGAUGGAGGGGCUUGGGUGAAGGGACCCGCUCUCCCCUCGCAGGAUGCUGGCUGCUGGGCUGGUUUUUCAACGAGAAAGCAACACGUUGAGGCUAUUCUUCAGAGGAAAGACUCCAGGAGUAGGAGUGAUACCUCCUGGGAGGAAUUCGAGACAUCUCACAGCUGCUGGCAGCCACAACUGGCCCCAAGAAUGUGGGUGAGUGCCUGGGAUUCUUUUUUCCCGCCUAUAUGUGUGUGUUUGCACGUGUUUGUUUCUUUUCCCCCCUAAAACCUACUGCGUGAAGUGCAUUAAAACAACCAAUCCCGGAUCGUCGCCGGUGAGCCGGGCCGGGUAGUGGCCUGGGGGGAUCGGGGCGGCGUGGGCGGCGGCCUCGGUGCGCAGCGCGGUUCUCCUGCCCUCACGUUCAGGAACUCACAUCUGGGACAAUGGUGUGCAUUCCCUGCAUCGUCAUUCCAGUUCUGCUCUGGGUCUACAAAAAGUUCUUGGAGCCAUAUAUAUACCCUCUGAUCUCCCCCUUUGUUAGCCGUAUGUGUCCUCAGAAAGCUAUACGAGAAACCAACGAUAAAAACAAAGGCAAAGUAGACUAUAAGGGUGCAGACAUAAAUGGAUUACCAACAAGAGGACCAACAGAAAUCUGUGAUAAAAAGAAAGACUAAACUGAUUGUCCCGAAGGAUCUCAUUGUUUUAAAAAUGGACCUGAUACUAUGAAGCACCUUCUUUGUAAUUGUCUCUGAUCUUUUUCCAAGACCAGAAUUUGGGUUAGAUAUUAAUAGUUUAGAUAUUUACCUGACACUAAUCAGGGAAUACCUGGUAUUUGUAUUUAAAAUGUAGCUAGUUAUAUUUAACGACCUCAUUCCUGAGUUCCUUUUUCAUUAAAGUAGCUUUCAUUUCCUUUAAAAAAAAAAAAAAACAACCAAUCCCUAGCUUUUUCUGGAUAAGAGCGUUCAGGAUGGGUAGCCCAAGGUGCCUUAGGGCCAGCUGUAACCUGUGUACUCAUUAGCAUGCCCUUGGUUUCUGAGAGCGAGGGCCGUCUUCCCCUUGGGACUGGCUUGUGCUAUGAUGAAGGAGAUUGGCUGCAACUGAAUGGUGGAAGAUGGCCAAGGCUGAUAACACCAGGUAUUUUUUAUCAGGUGGGCUCCCGUUGAGUUCUUCUGAAU
rnacentral:lncRNA from 1 species